rnacentral:lncRNA from 1 species
CCUGGGUACCGGAGGGAGGGAGGUGGGCAGAGGAGGGGAGAUGGGCACCCCCAGUCUUUCCAUCCUCCUCAUUCGACUAGGGGCACCCGAAUCCCCUAUUCCUUAUUUCCCCUAUCACUCAGGCACUGGCAGGGUCCUUUGCCCACUCCUGUUGGCCGCUGCGGCUCCAAAGCGAGCUGGGCAGAUGUGCCUGAGACAGGUUUGACCAGGCAACUGAAAAGACAUCCCUAAGAGAAGACAAAGCAAAGGUAUGAAAGGAACACACAUCCCUGACUGACUAGGAGGAACAGAGCUGCCUGCUGUCUGGAACCGCUUCCUCCAAGACUAAAAAUCACAUUCUCCUCUCAUUGUGCUACACAGCUUGUAAGCAC